GCCCAGGGUAGGGUUGGCUUUCUGGGCAGUAAGCAUCUGUUACUGGCUCAGGGUCAAUUUCUCAUCUAAAGGAGAAGAAAUAAUGUGAUAGAUACCUGUGAAAUGCACACAUCCUAGUGGGCAGGAAGCAAUACUCUACUCUCCAGGGAAAAAAGAAAUCUGUUGCAAGUUGGGAGGAAAACAAAUUUUAAAACUUCUGAAUCCUUUGUAGAAGAGAAUUUACAGUACUCUGUUCAGCUUUAA